rnacentral:rRNA from 1 species
ACGUAACGCUGGCGGCGUGCCUAAUACAUGCAAGUAGAACGCUGAAGAAUAGGAGCUUGCUCUUCUUGGAUGAGUUGCGAACGGGUGAGUAACGCGUAGGUAACCUGCCUUGUAGCGGGGGAUAACUAUUGGAAACGAUAGCUAAUACCGCAUAACAAUGGAUGACACAUGUCAUUUAUUUGAAAGGGGCAAUUGCUCCACUACAAGAUGGACCUGCGUUGUAUUAGCUAGUAGGUGAGGUAAUGGCUCACCUAGGCGACGAUACAUAGCCGACCUGAGAGGGUGAUCGGCCACACUGGGACUGAGACACGGCCCAGACUCCUACGGGAGGCAGCAGUAGGGAAUCUUCGGCAAUGGGGGCAACCCUGACCGAGCAACGCCGCGUGAGUGAAGAAGGUUUUCGGAUCGUAAAGCUCUGUUGUAAGUCAAGAACGGGUGUGAGAGUGGAAAGUUCACACUGUGACGGUAGCUUACCAGAAAGGGACGGCUAACUACGUGCCAGCAGCCGCGGUAAUACGUAGGUCCCGAGCGUUGUCCGGAUUUAUUGGGCGUAAAGCGAGCGCAGGCGGUUUGAUAAGUCUGAAGUUAAAGGCUGUGGCUCAACCAUAGUUCGCUUUGGAAACUGUCAAACUUGAGUGCAGAAGGGGAGAGUGGAAUUCCAUGUGUAGCGGUGAAAUGCGUAGAUAUAUGGAGGAACACCGGUGGCGAAAGCGGCUCUCUGGUCUGUAACUGACGCUGAGGCUCGAAAGCGUGGGGAGCGAACAGGAUUAGAUACCCUGGUAGUCCACGCCGUAAACGAUGAGUGCUAGGUGUUGGAUCCUUUCCGGGAUUCAGUGCCGCAGCUAACGCAUUAAGCACUCCGCCUGGGGAGUACGACCGCAAGGUUGAAACUCAAAGGAAUUGACGGGGGCCCGCACAAGCGGUGGAGCAUGUGGUUUAAUUCGAAGCAACGCGAAGAACCUUACCAGGUCUUGACAUCCCGAUGCUAUUUCUAGAGAUAGAAAGUUACUUCGGUACAUCGGUGACAGGUGGUGCAUGGUUGUCGUCAGCUCGUGUCGUGAGAUGUUGGGUUAAGUCCCGCAACGAGCGCAACCCCUAUUGUUAGUUGCCAUCAUUCAGUUGGGCACUCUAGCGAGACUGCCGGUAAUAAACCGGAGGAAGGUGGGGAUGACGUCAAAUCAUCAUGCCCCUUAUGACCUGGGCUACACACGUGCUACAAUGGUUGGUACAACGAGUUGCGAGUCGGUGACGGCGAGCUAAUCUCUUAAAGCCAAUCUCAGUUCGGAUUGUAGGCUGCAACUCGCCUACAUGAAGUCGGAAUCGCUAGUAAUCGCGGAUCAGCACUCCGC